rnacentral:rRNA from 1 species
GAGUCGCGGUUAAACCAAGAAGAUUAAGUUAUGUCUUUUCGGUGAAAAGAUAGUUAAGUAUAGUAUAAAAGCUUUUUUAAUUAUUAUUAAGAAGUAAAAUUCAAAAAUAAUAUAGAGAUUUAACCAAGGCUAAAAAGCUGAAGCUAUGACACCCCUGAGGGAAACUGGGAUUAGAUACCCCAUUAUUCUUGGAUAUAAAAAAAUAUACAUUUACCAGAGUACUAUGGAUUGUUUACAUUUAAAACUCAAAGGGCUUGGCGGUGUUUUAGACUUUUUAGGGGAACCUGUCUCAUAAUCGACAAUCCGCGAAAAACCUGACCUUUAUUUGCUUUCAGUUUGUAUACCGUCGUCGUCAGGUAACUUUUUAGAAAGAAGAAGUUAGCAACCGAGCUGUUUAUGUGCUUUUACGUCAGAUCAAGGUGCAGCUGAUAUAAGGGGGAGGAUGGGUUACAAUUAUAAAAAUUAUAACUACGAAAUAACAACCUUAAACAAUUGUUAUGAAGGAGGACUUAAAAGUAAAAUGAAAUAGAUAAGCAUAUUGAAUUAAGCUCUGAAACGUGUACAAAUUGCC